UAAGUUUAAAGCCGUUCCCACUCGUAUUAUCACUGUCUGCCAAUGCCAAGUGACACGCAAGGUCUGGCAGCGGGUCAGGUAAUGACAUGACAACAGUACACAAACAACUGUGCUACUAUUUUCUAUUUAUUGGUAGAGUGGAGCCUGGAAAACUCGGGUUGAUGCCAGCAGUGGUUCUGUGGAUAUCAGGUGGUGCCCCAAACGCACUACUUUCUAUUUAUUGGUACAGCGGAGCCUGGAAAACUCCGGUUGAUGCCAGCAGUGCUUCUGUGGAUGUCAGAUGGUGUCCCCAAACCCGCACGCUGGGAGUGCUCCCACCUCCUGCUGGAUGGUGGAGAGGAGCGAGAGGACAGAGGUGGUGCUGGGCGGUACUGGGGGCUGCUGGGCCUGGUCUGUUUUCCCCUGGCAGUGGUUUUCCAGGUGUCUGAAGAUGCCCCUGUGCUGACACUCUGGGGGGGCCACUCCCACCUCCUGAAGGAUGGUGGAGGGGAGUAGGAGGAUGGUGCCCGGGGGGGCUGUGGGCUGCUGGGCCGGUCACGCUUUCCCCAGGCAGCAGUGGUCGGUCUCUUGGACAGUUCCCGCGAGCCAACACCCUGGGGGGGCUGCUCCCACCUCCUGCUGGAUGGUGGAGGGGUGGGGGAGGGCAUUUGGGGAGCCUGGGGGCGGCCAGGUCUGUCAUGCUGGUGGGGCCGCUGCUGUCCCUUGAAGGAUGGUGGAGGGGAUGGAGAGGGCAGUGGAGGGGGUUGGGGGCGCCACUCCCGUUCCCUGAAGGAUCGUGGAGGGGAAUGGGAGGGUGGUGACGGUGCCUGGGGAGCUGGGGGGCUGCUGGAGCGGUCGCGCUUCCCCCAGGCAGUGGUUGUCCGUCUGUUGGACAUUUUCCCCAAGUCUGCACUCUGCGGGGAUUGCUUCCCUCCCCUGAUGGAUGGUGGAGGGGAGGGGGAAGGCAGAGGUGGUGCUGGGAGGGGCUGAGGGCUGCUGGGCCUCUCAGGCUUCCCUGAGGCAGCGGUUGUCUGGGUGCUGGACGAUGCCCCCGAGCCGACACCCUGAGGGGACCGCUCCCGUCCCCUGAAGGAUGGUGGAGGAGGAGGAGGCAGAGGUCGGGGGGGCGGCGUUGGUGGCCGGGGGCUGCUGGGCCUGUUGCUCAUCUGCCGGGGAGCCGUUAUUUCAGUGCCGGCCGAUGACCGCAAGCCUCCACCCCGGGCAGGUUCCUUCCGUCCCCUGAAGGAUGGUGGAGGGGGACGGGGGGGCUGUGCUGAUGCCCGGUGGGUCCGGGGGCUGCUGGGCCUGUUGCGCAUCCCCCGGGAUGUGGAGCCCAGGCCGGUGGGCCGCGGGGGCCGAGGUGGGGGCAGCUGAGCCUGGCUGCUGUCCAGCCUGGCAGGGGCUGCUCUGGUGGUGUCCUGCAGCAGGUGGGCAGGUCGUCCCCACACAGGUGGUUGCCACCAUGUCUGUCUUUUGGGCCCCUCGAGGUGGGCAGGCUGUUCAUCUGACUCUGAACUGGAGCUGCUGCUAUCAUCCCGGGCUUCAUCAGCUGCAGCGAGGCGCCUGCGGAGAGAGGAAUGUGCUGAGGGCACAGGAGAGCCCCUGCUCUCCUUCCUCAAAGCACAUGGCAAAGAGCUGCCCUCAGCUCCCAGCCUGUGUUGGACCCAGCAGGAAGAAUGGGCUGAAGCCGAUUAAAACAUCUAACGGCGUACGUCUCAGACCAUGUUAGCCAACA
ensembl:lncRNA